UAAUAAUUUUAAUAUGCGGAUUUCGUGGAAGAAGUAAAUAAUCCUUUGUCAGAAUCACCUAAAAACAACCGUUGUAGUUGCAUUUACAAGGAUAUGCUGUUCUGUUCCGAAAUAACAAAUACCGAAACAAAAGAUAUAUUUUAAUUAUAGAAUAAUUGUAGUCCUGUUUCGGCGUUACUGCAUGUCAUUUUAUUGUUUAUACAUCGCACUUCACUUGUUUUUAGGAUGUUA
rnacentral:lncRNA from 1 species